ACUGUUGACAAAGCCUUCCCGUCUUUGGAACCUGGUCAACUGAAAGGCACGUGGGUACAUUGGAUAGCAAACCUACUGCAGCAAACAAGCAAAAUUCACUGCUUUAAGGACAUUUGAAGUUGAACGUACAUGACCUGCAGCGGUGGGGAACAUCAGCACUGGAGGCCACUCAGCCAGGCCGACCCUGCAACUCCGACCCAGUGCCGUCGACAGGACAACAGACCUUCAUGGCCAAAUCUUUCUACACUCAGUGAAGUGACUUUGAACAAACAAGAAGCAGUUUUUCGGGGAGACAAUAAGUUGGAUUUGAACCUUGUAAACCAGACGCAGCAGUCUGAAGAAGGAUCUCAACCCGAAACGUCGCCCAUUCGUUUUCUCCAGAGAGGCUGCCUGGCCUGCUGCUACUCCAGCUUUUUGUGUAUAUCUCCAACUUAACACAUCAUGGCUUUUGUAAAAAUUAAAGAAAUCAUACCAAGUAUUCUAUUAAUCUACUGUGCACA